CACGUAGGAGGCGAGCGUUGUCCGGAAUCAUUGGGCGUAAAGAGCGCGCAGGCGGCUUGGCAAGUCGGGUGUGAAAUCCCGGGGCUCAACCCCGUGACUGCAUCCGAUACUGUCAGGCUAGAGGUAGGUAGGGGAGAUCGGAAUUCCCGGUGUAGCGGUGAAAUGCGUAGAUAUCUGGAGGAAUACCGGUGGCGAAGGCGGCAUCCUGGACCGACAUUGACGCUGAUGAGCGAAAGCUAGGGGGAGCAAACGGG
rnacentral:rRNA from 1 species